rnacentral:rRNA from 1 species
CAAAAACAUGUUUUUUUGAGUUAUUUUUAAAGUUUAACCUGCCCAAUGAAAAUUUUUUAAUGGCCGCAGUAAUUUGACUGUGCAAAGGUAGCAUAAUAAUUAGUCUUUUAAUUGAAGGCUUGUAUGAAUGGUUGGACGAAGUAUAAUCUGUUUCAUUUAAAUUUAUUAUAGAAUUUUAUUUUUUAGUAAAAAAGCUAAAAUUUUUUUAAAAGACGAGAAGACCCUAUAAAUCUUUAUAAUUUAUAUUUAUUUUUUUUUUUUUGAUUUAUUUUAUUUUAAUAAUUUAGAUUAUUUUAUUGGGGUGAUAUUAAAAUUUAAAUAACUUUUAAUUUUUUUUUACAUUAAUUUAUGAUUUAUUGAUCCAUUAAUAAUGAUUAAAAGAAUAAGUUACUUUAGGGAUAACAGCGUAAUUUUUUUGGAGAGUUCUUAUUGAUAAAAAAGUUUGCGACCUCGAUGUUGGAUUAAGAUAUAAUUUUAGGUGUAGUUGCUUAAAUAAUAAGUCUGUUCGACUUUUAAAUUCUUACAUGAUCUGAGUUCAAACCGGA